rnacentral:rRNA from 1 species
AGCAGCCGCGGUAAUUCCAGCUCCAAUAGCGUAUAUUAAAGUUGUUGCAGUUAAAAAGCUCGUAGUUGAAUUUCGGAGUUUGUCGGUUGGUCGGGCUUUACUGUCCGCACUGGCCUGAUGGAUUCCUACCUUCUGAAUAACCAGCAUGCUAUUAAUUUAGUGCGUUGGGGAAGCAGAGCUAUUACCUUGAAAAAUUAGAGUGCUUAAAGCAGGCUUACGCUUGAAUAGAUUAGCAUGGAAUAAUAAAAUAGGACGGCUUGGUUCUAUUCUGUUGGUUUCUAGGAUCACCGUAAUGAUUAAUAGGGAUAGUUGGGGGCAUUAGUAUUCAAUUGUCAGAGGUGAAAUUCUUGGAUUUAUUGAAGACUAACUUCUGCGAAAGCAUUUGCCAAGGAUGUUUUCAUUAAUCAAGAACGAAAGUUAGGGGAUCGAAGACGAUCAGAUACCGUCGUAGUCUUAACCAUAAACUAUGCCGACUAGGGAUCGGACGAUGUUAAUUUUUAAUGUACUCGUUCGCGCCUUA